rnacentral:lncRNA from 1 species
CGCCUCCUGGGCUCCCAACGGCUGCUUUCGACGUUGUGCUCCACCCUUUCCGGGCGGGGCGGAAAAAAUACUUCCCGUCUCUCCUUUCCGCCUAGUGGCUCUGUCAAAGGUCGAGUCAGUGACGUCAAAGAGCCUGGACCAAUCAGAGCACACCGGACUGCGUUUUUUUUCCGAACGCCGGCAGCAGGGUCAGAAGGGAGGUGGUCGCCCUCCGUCGUGGCCUGGCGUGGAUUCCGAGCGUUGGUGUCUGGCGGUUUCCGACCGUUGGUGUCUGGCACGCGCCACCCCGAUGUACCAGGUAAAGCCCUAUCACGGGGUCGGCGCCCCUCUCCGUGUGGAGCCCACCUGCAUGUACUGGCUCCCCAACAGGCACGGCAGGAGCGGCGGCCCAGCACUCGGCACUGGCCACUUGCAGACAAGAAGACAAGAAAAUGAUUUGAGGACAGCUUCAAUCGCGGUGUGAAGAAGAAAGCAGCAAAACGACCACUGAAAACAACGCCGGUGGCAAAACAUCCAAAGAAAGGGUCCCAAGCGGUACAUCGUCAUAGCUGGAAACAGUCAGAGCCACCAGCCAAUGAUCUUUUCAAUGCUGCGAAAGCUGCCGAAAGUGACAUGCAGAGGCGGAUUUCCCUGACUGAAGACCAUGUUGCAGGCCCACAGCUGCCUACAGGCCCUCUGGGCAACCGUCCCAAAAUAUGGCAAAGAAACCUAUUCUGAGGUUAAAUAUUUUGGUUUCUUUCAGUGGGAGGCAAGGGUCUUCCGGACUAGGGAGGUAGAUGUGCAGCAGCCUCAGGUGCUCUAGGUGCUUUGCAGCUACGCUGGCCAGGCCACCUGAGGUAGGUCCCCUUUGCACCAGUCUCACACCCUGCUGGGGGACAGUAGUGGAGACAGCAGUAAAAGCAGGUCUAAGGCAGGUGUGGAGAUUAGUACAGGUGGCCUGGGCAAAGGGCAAAGGGUGAAGAGAAUGUUGGGAGCCAUGGGUGACUGGCUGCGGGCAUAGGCACCAUGAAGGCUACUAUGGGCUGCAGGGUGUGGAUGAGGGGACAGAGUUUGCCCCAGAGACCAAGUUGGUUUGUGUCAAACACCACAGGAUUUUUAUU